AUACUUACAUGGACGGGGUCAAUGGACGAUCAAGAAGGUUCAUGGCCUAGGUUAAUGACCUCCGUUGCCCUCAGGAGGGGUGCUCGUUUAAGAUAUCUUCAAGUAGGAUAGCCUAUGUCAUUAUUUGUUGCUGAGGAGGUAUGCAUUCGCGCGGCCCCUGC